rnacentral:rRNA from 1 species
AUAUCAAUAAGCGGAGGAAAAGAAACUAACAAGGAUUCCCGUAGUAACUGCGAGUGAAGCGGGAAAAGCUCAAAUUUGAAAUCUGGCUGGUCCGUAGCUUUGGCUUGCCCGAGUUGUAAUCUAGAGAAGUGUCUUUCCGUCGCUGGACCGUGUACAAGUCUCUUGGAACGGAGCGUCGUAGAGGGUGAGCAAUCCCGUCUUUGACACGGACUGCCAGGCACGUUAUGUGAUGCGCUCUCGAAGAGUCGAGUUGUUUGGGAAUGCAGCUCAAAAUGGGUGGUAAAUUCCAUCUAAAGCUAAAUAUUGGCGAGAGACCGAUAGCGAACAAGUACCGUGAGGGAAAGAUGAAAAGAACUUUGAAAGAGAGUUAAACAGUAC